GCGGAGCAGAGGGGUGGGGGUGGGGGGUGUCGCCGCGGUCUAGGCGCGGUAGGCAGUGGCGGCGGCGUCGGAGGUCCCUGAGAUAUGGCCGCCUCGGUGUUCUGCUGCCUGCGGUGCUGCAGAGAUGGCGGUACGGGCCACAUCCCUCUGAAGGAGAUGCCGGCCGUGCAGCUGGACACGCAGCACAUGGGAACGGAUGUUGUCAUUGUAAAAAAUGGAAGAAGAAUAUGUGGAACAGGAGGUUGUUUAGCCAGUGCACCUUUACAUCAAAACAAAAGCUACUUUGAAUUCAAAAUCCAGUCCACAGGAAUCUGGGGUAUUGGUGUUGCAACUCAGAAAGUUAACUUGAAUCAGAUCCCUCUUGGCCGAGAUGUGCAUAGUCUGGUGAUGAGAAAUGAUGGAGCCCUAUAUCACAACAAUGAGGAGAAAAAUAGGCUGCCAGCAAACAGCCUUCCACAGGAGGGAGACGUGGUGGGUAUUACAUAUGACCAUGUAGAAUUAAAUGUAUAUUUGAAUGGAAAAAACAUGCAUUGUCCAGCAUCAGGUAUACGAGGGACAGUGUAUCCAGUUGUUUAUGUUGAUGACAGUGCAAUUUUGGAUUGCCAGUUCAGUGAAUUUUAUCAUACUCCUCCACCUGGUUUUGAAAAGAUAUUAUUUGAACAGCAGAUCUUCUGAAUGUAUUUGUUUUUGAAACUUGUAUUUCUGCACUGUUAAAAGUGUUUACCAUUUAAUAAAGCUUUACCUGACCUACAGAUGACAAUAUAUCCUUAAAAAUAUGCUCGUUAAUGGUGUCUAAGGAACCAAAGUAUACAAUAUACCAUCCUGAAGUUGUGAUUUAAAAUACUUAGGUUUUGUGAUAAUGAAAUCAGCAUUUGGGGCAGUUUAUUUAAUUCUUAUUUAAAUAAAUAUGACUGUGGGUUUGAUUAACAGUAUUAAAUGGAAAUACGUAUAUAGAUAUUUAAAAGGGAAUCUUAACAUAAAAUAUUUGUUUUGAUAGAGAUACAGAGUUGGGUGGAGGUUUCUGUCAUUCUGAAGUGUAGACCUCAUUAACUAUUUUAAGUCUGCAGUCCAAUAAUUUUGUGUCUCAGUGUCUUUUUUAUAUAGAGUAUAACAAAGUGACAAGUUUAUGUUAUUGGCAACUUCAUUUUUGGCGAUUUAUUUACUAUAAAAUAUACCACUUUUCUUAAAAUUUAAAUUGCUUAUUUUGUUUGUAUGUCAUUGCUUUUGAUUUUCUUUGUGAAAGGAGAUAAGUGUUGUAGUAGCUGUCAGAGUAUUUUGUUGAAGACCGUCAUGCUGUGUUACUUCAAUACCUGAGUAAGUAUUGGUUGAUUGGUGAUGUAGCCUACACAGCAGACAUUUAGAAUAGUAUCAUGCUUUCAACUUAAGUGGAAAUGAGAUUAUUCUUUUAAGGACUUUUAUUUAAAUGUGCAUUUUUCUGUAAGGAAUAAUAAAAUAUUAGUAAUUAAGGACUAUUCAGUAGUAUAUUAAAUACAUGUUCUUCCUGUUUUGUUAAUUAUACAGUAAUUCACUUCACCCUUGAUUAUUUCAGAAGUUUGGAGAUAAGUGAAUUCUCUCCACGACCCUGAGCCUUUGCCUAGUUUUCAGGAAGAAUCCCUGACCUUUAGAUAACACCCUACUAAGCUGAACAAAUCACUUUCUAUAUCUGGUACAGUCUCCUUUCCAGAUGGGCAUGCAAAGGAUGCAUGCGUUUCACUCCUUUACCAACGUGGAGCAGUAUGUUGUACUAGAAAAACAGGGCUUUAGAAUUGAAGGAGAUCUGAAUUGUAGUUUUGCCACCUGAUCCCAUUAUCUCUUCAGGCAAGUUCCUCAGUCUUUCUGAGCUCAGGUUCCCCAUUUAUAAAAGGAAUAAUCAUACCCUUGAUGAGAUUCUGUAACUAGUUAAAUAAUAUUACAUACGUAAAACACUUUUGUCAUCGUAGGCAAUUAACGAACGUAGCUUCUUUGUUUUCUCUGCUCAGUGGUUUUCAUAGUGUGGCCUUCAGACCGUCAGCCUCAGCCUCACUUGAGAACUUGUUAGAAAUGGACACUCAGGCCCCACCCCCGACCCACUGAAUCAGAAACUGCUGGGGAUAGCACCCAGGAAUCUGUGUUUGAACAAGCCCUUCAGGUGAUUCUGAUCCAUGCGAAAGAUUGAGAACCACUGCUCAGGAGAGAAUUCUUUGAGAAUGAUUGCCUACUCUAAAUUUUCUAAGGAUUUAAGACUUAUUUUUGCCCCAUAGACAAAAGAAUCCUGCACAAUAUUUAUUUAUUGUUCCAUUUGAUAGACACAAACGUGACAAUGUUUUGAAAACAUAGAUAUACCUGAGUAACAUCUAUUUACAUAAAUCCCAAAUUUACCUCUGUAGAUAUAUAGAAUUGAACUAACUUUAUAUUGUUUAUGCAUUUUUACCUGACUUUCUGGCCUAGUAGUUUUAAUUCAUAAAGAAUAUGCUUAUUUUGGAACGAGAAUUAAUAUGACUACUGUUUGCUCUCUUUAUAAUGUUAUCUACCUCCUAUUUAUUUUUUUAAAAGCCAAACUUUUUUUUUUAAUCAUCAUAUUCUUUUCUCAAGACUAUGUUUGAUACCUCUAAUCAUACAGAAUAGGUACAAUACUAAAAAUGGUACAUGAGUUAUGUCCAUGGCAACAGUUUGAUGAAGUCUAGAUGUGUUUUUAAUUUCUAGGUAUCUAAUUUCUCUUAGGAAAAUUACCUAUAACCUCAGUCUAAUCUUGAGGAAAAUCAUCAGACAAAUUCCAGUAGGGGGGCGUCCUACAAAAUACUUGAGCAGUACUCCGAACUGUCAACGUCAUCAAAAACAAGGAAAGUCAGAGAUACUGUCACAUCCCGGGGAGCCUAAGGGAACACGACAAGUCAAUGUAAUGUGCGAACCAGGAACAGAAAAAGGACAUUAGGUAUGGUGAGCAGGAAGCUACUGCCAUUGAAAAAGAUAGUGUUACAGUUUCCAAGAGGAGAGGGCACACCUUGCCACACAGGGACUCACAGGUGAGUUGAAGAAGCUCAAGGAAGAAGAGCACGAGUGACCCAGAGAAGGCACACGAGACACAACAGCCUUUCGGUCUGGAAGUCAAGGCUGAGGAGGAACGUUACCCCAAUCUAUAAAAUCGUGGAUGGUUGAUUUUCACAGUCACUUCAAAGGAGUAUAUAGGACAGUGUAGGAGCAAGUGUUUUUUUUUAUUGCCUCUCCAUUGAAGGAGUCAGGACACAUUAAAAAACAACAGUAGUAACUACAUGUAAUUGACUGCUGAUGUCUACACUGCUGGCCAACGGCAGAGUUUUUCCUCCAAGACAUGGUCUCCUGUGCCAGAGAAAAUAACUACUGUUAAUUUGAUGUUUUGUGUCACUGAAUUUGUACUCUGCGGCUGUCCAGGUGAUAUUCUCCAGCUCCUUCCUGCAGUCAUCCAUCCACCUACCAUCCUGACAAUAGUUCAGGGCCCACAACAUGCAAACCAUGGAGGAGUGUACCUUGCUAGGUAUCUGCAGUUGUGAUCCAGCAGGGCAGCGCUGACAGGAGAACUGGCACCAAAUGCAUAUUCAGAAAACACUCUUUAAUGCAGGACAUACUCAUGAAAAAGAUGCCAGUUCUUUCUGGAUGUUUUGUUGUUUGGUCUUGUAGCAAUUCUUUUUAAGAGUAUAGGAGUGAUUACAGGAGCAGCUGGAGGCUGGAAUUCUGGUCCUCUCUAUUGCACUCACCAACCCCAGAUUGAGCCUGUGGACAAGGCCCUUGGCUUCUGUGUUUGUAAAACAAGGAACACAGGCUCCUUUCUGACUCUGCUGGUCUCUCAUGUCACAAGCUGGCGUUGAGACUUCCCUGGUGGCGCAGUGGUUAAGAAUCCGCCUGCCAAUGCAGGGGACACGGGUUCGAACCCGGGUCCUGGAAGAUCCUACAUGCCGCGGAGCAACUAAGGCCAUGUGCCGCAACUACUGAACCUGCGCUCUAGAGCCCGCGAGCCACAACAACAGCCCAUUUGCCACAACUUCUGAAGCCCGCGUGCCUGGAGCCCGUGCUCCACAAGAAGUGUUGCGAGCUGGUGUCAUCAACUGCUACAGCUUUGAAACAACUUUAACAUCUCUCCUGCACACACUAAAGUUCACAAGCAUAAUGCUGUGUGCAAGGUGAACUGUAUUGAGAUCCCUGGAAAAAAGACUCCAGGGCCGAGACAGCCUUCCUGUCCCCCACCCCUUGCUGUGCAUUUGUUCUAUAGGUUAGUGGCCUCAGGGAGGCCCGCCUGCCUCUGAGGCCCUCCCUAGCCCUUGUUCAAACGUGCCAUCACCAAUAUCUAAGUAAAUGUGACUGGGUGUCAUGGAGAACGAAGACACUUGAAAGGUGCUAGUGGGUGAAAGUCAUAAUAGAAGAAAAGAAAGUCUACAGAACAAUUCCGGUGCCUUGGGUAGUGCUGAUGAAUCAAAUCUUCAGGCCUCAGCACCCUUUCCUUCUCCCUGUGCGUGGCCGAGCACCCUUCCCCAGCCUGGUGCCCAGUGUCCUCAUCCAUCCAUCCAAAGCUGCAGGAGCAGGAAGAGCACAGUGUCCAGAAGGAGGCAGCACAAGAGGCAGGGGCUGGCUCCGCCCAUCAGAAGCUCUGUCCAUGUGGCUCGGCAUGCAGGAUCUACUUCCCCGCAACCAGGGAUCGAAUCUGUGCCCCGUGCAGUGGAAGCACAGAGUCUUAACCACUGGACCACCAGGGAAGUCCCUUAAACUUUUAUAUAUUGUAAAUAGCAUAAUGGAGAACAUCCAUUAUGACCAUUCCAGUACCCCCCUCCUCAUUAACUCUUCUAGAACUGUUGCAAUGGCUUCAUAAAUAAUAUCAUUUUGUCUGGCACACAAAAAAUAGGCUGAACUACAAACUGUACAUUUAGUGACAAAGUUGAUUUGCAUUUUCGUGCCUGCAGAUCACGUUUUGAGUAGCACUGCUUUAACAAAAAGAUAAUUGAUGUGUUGUUUAAACUACAGUUAACCCUUGAACAACACAGGUUUGAACUGUAACUAAGUGCGGGGUGCAGUUAUAGGUGGAUUUUUAAAAAUAAAUUCAUACUGUAUUACAUGAUUCAAGGUUGCUUGAAUCUAAGGCUGCGGAACCGCGGAUUUCAAACAACUGUUGUGGGACUUGAGCAACCACGGAUUUCAGUAACCAUGGUGGGUCCUGGAACCAAUUCUUCGGAAGAUUCCCAGGGAUAAGGUAUCCUUAUUUCAGGCCAUAGGGGAAAAAAACCCCUAAAAAUCUCUAAAACAUGUAUGAGGUUACCAUAAUCUUAAAAUCCAAUCAAUAUACUAACCCCCCCACCCCUGAAUAAAAGAAGCAGGGAAGGAAGAGAAGACCUCUAGGCGCGGGAGACCUAGUAGGAAACAAGGCAGAGGUCGGGCUCUGUAGCAGAUCGCACUCUAGAGGAGGGGUAUUGGCUGUAACAUGGAAAAAAAACACUGACAAAUGCUAAGAAGAUAAAGUAGAGCAAUGUGGUGGAGAGUUCCAGGGGUGGGGGAAAUCUGCUUUAACUGCUGUAACAGACCUUUUUUUUUUUUCUGCAAAUCUACACCCUUCUCUUUCCCUUGAUCAAUCCACAGCUUAGCACUUACCUCUCAGAUUGUCACUGAGGCCCUUUUGUUAUCGGAAAACUGGGUUUACCUCUUGGUGGGUGUUGAGCCAAUAGACACAACCAAGCCAAAGAGCAGGAGAGGGAAGGAUUUAUUACUUGCAGCGAGGAAGGAGAACACUUUCCCAACACUGCUUCCCCAACCGCAAAAUUGCAGAAGUUUUAAGCUAAGGGUACAUGCAUAUUCACGAGGGAGCUUGAGCAGAGGAGAAUUCAGCAUAGAAUUGGGGCAAAGGUUGACAGAGUCCAAGCUUUAGUUGACUGAUUCGGAAGGGUCAACAUCAUUCCAUCCUCCACCUGAGUGGGGGCCUUAAUUCUUUCAGAACUUAAAGAUUUAUUGUUUUGUAUAUUCCUUGAAGAACCAGAACCCUGCCCCAAGGCUGCACUAUUGUUUUCUUGUUUGUUCAUCCCCUCCCUUAAGAUCAUUAAUUACUGAGACCUGUUAAAGGGCAAGCAUUGUGGCCAGGCUUAGAUCACAAAAUGGCUUAGGCCAAAAUGGGCUCUCUUAUGUCAAGAAAACCAUUCCCGCUACUCUUUUUCUGGGGAGCCCCCCUAACCGAUCUGCCUACACUUUAGCAAAAGGACUGGUUUAUCCCUCUUCCCAUCACAUGAUAGUUGCUAAAAAAAGAUGCUGAUUAAGUUGCACAAAGGGGGCUUCCCUGGUGGCACAGUGAUUAAAAAUCCGCCUGCCAAUGCAGGGGUCACGGGUUCGAGCCCUGGUCCAGGAAGAUUCCACAUGCCGCAGAGCAACUAAGCCCGCCUGCCACAACUACUGAGCCUGUGAGCCUAGAACCUGUGCUCCACAACACAAGAAGCCACUGCAAUGAGAAGCCCUUGCACUGCAACGAAGAGUAGGCCUCGCUCACCACAACUAGAGAAAGCCCGCACGCAGCAACGAAGACCCAACGCAGCCAUAAAUAAAUAAAUGUAUAUUAAAAAAAAAGUUGCACAAAGGCUCUCAUUUGAUUAUAACACUGAAGUAGCCAUUAGUGUCUUCCUUUACCAAGGAGGACACUGGUUCAAUUUGCCCAGGGUUGUUGGACUAAUAAUAGAGUUGGGAUGCUAACCUCGGUCUUUCCCACUCAGUAACUCCAUCCAGGUCACUAGAAAUGCUAUUGAUAGGAGGGGUAAAUUGAAGGGCAAUCCAUAAACCAUCAGUGAUUUGGUUUUAACUAAUAUCUUUCCCUCCUUUUCUCUUUACCUCUCUUUCUCCACUCAAAGCUAAUGGACAGCUUGGUUUUAACAUGAUUAAAGCAAUUCUAGAACGAACAACCAGAAAGUAACAACUAGAUUGAGGUUGCUUCCCAGAAUAAGAUUUUAUUUGGAUUAAAUCCCAAAUUCAGUCUGACCUGACGCUGUGGGUCAGCCCCAGGAUAGUUCCCAAAGAAUAAACCAAGUUCCUCUCUAUUUCCCACUCCUCACCAAGAUGGCAAGUACUGGAGAUGAAAUGUCACAGACUUGAGGAUCCAAAGCCGCCAACUCCUCCUCUCUUUGCCUGGGCUCUGAACCUCUGUGCAUUCUCCCCAUUCCCCUUCAGGAAAAGACAAACAGCCUCUGUUGAAGAUGUGCAUGAAGUUGACACAACCCUUCAAGACUGCAGAGGAGACUCCUUGGACAAUCUUCAGAACUGGAGGAGUCUCCUGCCCCCAGUUAUCCUGUUUUCCGUGAAUGGUUUAGAGCUGAAUAUUUACAAACUGGAGCCUCUACUGCUCAAUAUUAAUAAACAGACUAGGUCUCCUACGAAGGGUGAUAUGCAAAUGAAACAUAGGUGCCUACUUAAUAGAAGUCUACAUGAUAGCCCCUUUUUUGUCUGACCUCUGGAUUUACGGUUUGUCUGGAUAGGUUCCAGCUCUGCUGACUUGAUUGUAAAAUCUCUUUUCACUAGA